AUGGAGAACAAGGGAGCGGCAGCGGCGGUGCCGGAGAAGGAGGCGCCAGCGUCGUCGUACUUCAAGAGGACGGUGGAGCUGGCGAAAGACCAGUACCGGCAGCUCGAGGCGCCGGCGAAGGAGCACUGGGCGAGCAUGAAGAACAAGGUCAGCUCCGUGCUCAGCGAGCCCUUCUUCAGCGGAUCCAAGGGUGACUCCAGCAGCAGCACGCCGCCGUCCACCGAGUCGCAGUAG
rnacentral:rRNA from 1 species